rnacentral:rRNA from 1 species
UGAGGGAAUAUUGGGUCAAUGGGCGGAAGCCUGAACCAGCCAAGUAGCGUGCAGGAAGACGGCCCUAUGGGUUGUAAACUGCUUUCAGUCGGGAAUAAUUCGUCGGUCGUGACCGACGUUGCAGGUACCGUCAUAAGAAGGACCGGCUAAUUCCGUGCCAGCAGCCGCGGUAAUACGGAAGGUCCGGGCGUUAUCCGGAUUUAUUGGGUUUAAAGGGAGCGCAGGCCGCCGGGCAAGCGUGUUGUGAAAUGCAGUCGCUCAACGUCUGCACUGCAGCGCGAACUGCCCAGCUUGAGUGCGCGCAACGUUGGCGGAAUUCGCCGUGUAGCGGUGAAAUGCUUAGAUAUGGCGAAGAACUCCGAUUGCGAAGGCAGCUGACGGGUGCGUAACUGACGCUCAUGCUCGAAAGUGCGGGUAUCGAACAGGAUUAGAUACCCUGGGUAGU